rnacentral:lncRNA from 1 species
AUGACUGUUUUAGUGUUUUUAUCCAUCAGGAAACUCUGCCUUCAUCUACAACCCAAGCAUGAAGAGAUGGCAACUCAGAUUCUUCACCCCAGGAAUCCUCAGCACCAGCUCACUAGCAUCUGUAGACUAGAUACCUGUAACAACUUCAGAUACAGAGACAUAUUACGGUCAGAUUUAUCAAGAAUGACAAAAAACAUAAUUAAAAGCAGUAAAAAUACGUCAGAGCAGCAGCACAAGUAAGACAAAAACAGUGAAAUGUGUAAAUGUAAAAUGUAUUUAUAUUAUUUCAGCUAUGCUCUCAAACUUAUUUAUUUGUAUAAUGUAAGCUAAAGUAGUGUUUUCUAUUAACGAGAGUUUUCUAGGUAAGUUGUGUUGUGAAUAUUCAAGCUGCACAGGCCAUUUAGCAUACGCAUUAGCAACCGCUAGUCGCUUUGCAAAUUACAUAAAUCAAUUAAAUUGAAGUAAAUGCGACAUUACCAAUGAGACACAUCUUGCAUCAGCCGAAAUGUGGCGACUUUAACAGCCUCCUCUUCAGCUUCAGGGUCAGAUUCGGUAUCGUAGACGUAUGGUUCUACUACGCUACCGGAUCAGCUGGCUGGCUAUUGUCGUGCAGGCCUGUAGUGGGUCUUCUUCUUCUGUGGAGGAUGCGUUGGAUUGCAUUCUCAAUGUCGCACUACUGCCACCUAUAGUAUCCUAACCGUGCGGUGGCUCGUAUCCAUGAAGCCAAUUAAAAAAAAAAAAAAAAAAAAAAGGUAUGCGCUUCCGCACAGAGGUGUGGUGAGCAGCUUCGCUUGCGACAUGCCUAGAAAACACAGCCUUUGCUGUUGGAGUAAGAACCACAUAUUGACAGGGGCAGUGUGGACGAUCUAAAGGGUUUUAUGGGAUGAAAAUUUACAGAGACCUUACUGAGACAUUAAAGUCUAAUAUUUUUUAGAAUGAAAAGUAUGAUCAGUCUCCUUUAACAAUAAGAAUAAGAAAAGCUUUAAUAGGCCGAGAAACUGCGUCACACAACAGCAUUAUACAGAGAAGGAAAAUAAAAUACAGCAACAAGAAUUAAGACA